rnacentral:rRNA from 1 species
GAAAAGAAACUAACAAGGAUUCCCCUAGUAACUGCGAGUGAAGCGGGAAAAGCUCAAAUUUAAAAUCUGGUAGUCUUUGGCUGCCCGAGUUGUAAUCUAGAGAAGCAUUAUCCGUGCUGGACCGUGUAUAAGUCUCCUGGAAUGGGGCGUCAUAGAGGGUGAGAAUCCCGUCUUUGACACGGACUUCUGGUGCUUUGUGAUGUGCUCUCAAAGAGUCGAGUUGUUUGGGAAUGCAGCUCUAAAUGGGUGGUAAAUUCCAUCUAAAGCUAAAUAUUGGCGAGAGACCGAUAGCGAACAAGUACCGUGAGGGAAAGAUGAAAAGAACUUUGGAAAGAGAGUUAAACAGUACGUGAAAUUGUUGAAAGGGAAACGCUUGAAGUCAGUCAUAUUGUCCAGGGAUCAACCUUGCUUUUUUGCUUGGUGUACUUCCUGGUCAAUAGGUCAGCAUCAAUUUUGACCAGUGGAAAAAGGCUGGGGGAAUGUGGCAUCUUUGGAUGUGUUAUAGACCUCUGUCAUAUACAUUGGUUGGGAUUGAGGAACUCAGCACGCCGCAAGGCAGGGUUUUAACCACUUUCGUGCUUAGGAUGUUGGCAUAAUGGCUUUAAUCGACCCGUCU